CUCUCGGUGCGGGAGGCUCCAACUGCUGCCUCGCUUUGUGUUUUGUUUGUUUGUGUUUUGUUUGUUUGUGUUUUGUUCCUCGCGUCGCCGAUGCUGCCCCAGAGGACUGGACCGGUGUUUCAACCGAAACACUUCUUGUAUCCGUGUUUUUCCGUAGAUGUGAUUAUUUUUCUUCCUCAAGAAAUGCUUCUCGGUAGUUAAUACAUUACGGAAGGAACCGUGGAGAAGCGCUACGCAAACAGCACAGUUCGUGCCACUUGAGCAAAAUAGAGGUCGGUCGGAGGCCGAGGUUGCCCUCCCUUCCAGGUGCAGAACAACUUCGCAGCCCACAGCCGCCGGUUCAGGCCAUUAUCAUCAAGGUGGGAGCAUGGCAGUAUCCAGGCAGGCAUGGCGCAGGAGGAGCUGAGAGUUCUAUGUCUUCAUCCAAAGGCUGCUAGUGGAAGACUGACCUCCAGGCAACUAGGAUAACAGACAUCCCUAGGCAUCUGCCUAGCAAAGAGUGGCGCAUAAGCGAAGCCCUCCACCACCACCGCACAGUUAUGGAAAGCAUAGUAAAAACAGGCAUUUUGGUGGUAAGAAAUGAAAUAGAAGAAGUGAGAAUACAUUGAAGAGACUGGAUUAACUACUUGCUUAGUUCCGGACUGGGGAGCAGUGUAUUCUGAUAUUUGUAUAUUUUCAUGGUCUUUUCUUUUGGCCUGUGGUUUGCAUGUGUUAAAACUGAUUUGCUGUGUUUUUAUUUUAUUUUUAUGUAUUAUUAUUACUCUAUGUAUGUAUGAUGUAUGAGUGCGGGCAUGCAUAUUUUUGCUACAACUUUGUUCUCACUUUUCCACGGUGAAUUCCAGAGAUGCAGUUCAGUUCAUCAGACCUGCAUGCCAAGAAUCUUCACGUGCUGAACCAUCAUGCCUGCCCAAAUUGCUUAUAUUUUUCUUACCAAAGUAUAAUUGGUUUAUCUGAAAUGAGAUGCUGAGCAUAUCAGAUACAAAUUUAAACUUGAGGAACAG
rnacentral:lncRNA from 1 species